UGGGGAAUAUUGGACAAUGGGCGCAAGCCUGAUCCAGCCAUGCCGCGUGAGUGAUGAAGGCCCUAGGGUUGUAAAGCUCUUUCACCGGUGAAGAUAAUGACGGUAACCGGAGAAGAAGCCCCGGCUAACUUCAUGCCAGCAGCCGCGGUAAUACGAAGGGGGCUAGCGUUGUUCGGAUUUACUGGGCGUAAAGCGCACGUAGGCGGACUUUUAAGUCAGGGGUGAAAUCCCGGGGCUCAACCCCGGAACUGCCUUUGAUACUGGAAGUCUUGAGUAUGGUAGAGGUGAGUGGAAUUCCGAGUGUAGAGGUGAAAUUCGUAGAUAUUCGGAGGAACACCAGUGGCGAAGGCGGCUCACUGGACCAUUACUGACGCUGAGGUGCGAAAGCGUGGGGAGCAAACAGG
rnacentral:rRNA from 1 species